AGACUUCAGGUACCAUUGUAAGCCUUUCCACUCUGUACCACAAGGAAAAUAAACAUGUUGAAGUGCUGGUGCUACACAGCAAGACAGAGAGAGAAAUCAAUGAGGGAAAUGUGCUUCUGCUAAUGAUGUUAUUUGUACAGGAGCUUACAGGUAUCAGGAAAACACAAAAACACACCAUAAUUGAGGCUGGCAUGCAGAAAUCUUCUCAAAAAAUAGGACAAAUGAUAAACAUUCAAAAAUUCCAGCACUCCUUCUCAUAAUGUUAUGCCACUUCCAGACUCAAAAGAUUGUGUGGAUGUCUAUCGUCUGUGUAAAGACGUCCUGCACAGCUCCCUAUGUGAGAUCCCUCAUGCUCUCUGCUCUUGUGUCCUGGGCAUAAACAAGAUAUUUGGUUACAGCCAACAGAGAAAAGUCUUGCAAAGAUUCAGUAUCCCCGAGGUGCUGUAACAACAGAUGACACCUAUAGUAUAAUGACAGUUUUAUUUAGUGUUUUUGGCACUGCUCCUCUUCUCGUGAUAUACAGAGUGGAGAAAAGACCUCUAAUACCCAGAAAGCAGUUCACUUGAUACUAGAGAAGGAGGCAGGGGGCCAUUUUCUGAGUCCUGCUUUUCUGCAGCUCUCCCCACAUCAAACCUGGCUGGCUACAGUUGGUGGGGAUGGACUGCUGCACAUCUGUGAGAUCUCAACAAUGGUAUUGUUUGUUAAAACCAAUCUCUACAAGUUCAUCCAUGAGUACUGGGCUAGGAAAAACAUGUUUCUCGGAAACUGCCGAAAUAUGUGAUGUAAAUGUGUGUACUUUUGACAGGUACAGUAUGUACAGCUGCAGAGCCACUCAAGUUGGCAGGGUGGAGUCGGAUCUGUUUGUUUCACCACAAACAGUCAGACCCUCAUCACCACAGGCCUGAGGGAUGGCUCACUUGUCUGCAGCCGGCUCAGAAAAAACUGUCCUCUCCAGAAUGACUGACUGGGAUCCACAGAUGAAAUCUCUGACCAGAUGUUCCUCAUUUCAUACAGGUUCUCCAAGAGGAGACCCAGCAUAUGCAGAGACAAAGAAGAACCUAAGAAAAACAUCAAAGUUCUUCGUGACAAUCAAAGCAAUGAUGGAGGAGAAUGAGAGUCUGCCAGACAUGGAGAAACUUGAGCACCAGGAAUUUAACCUGGAUGUGGAAGAGCAACAGAGGCUGCAGCUCGAGGGAAAACAUGAAGUUACCAGGAAAAUGAGGUGA
rnacentral:lncRNA from 1 species